rnacentral:rRNA from 1 species
UUUAAUGAGAGUUUGAUCCUGGCUCAGGACGAACGCUGGCGGCGUGCCUAAUACAUGCAAGUAGAACGCUGAUGUUUGGUGUUUACACUAGACUGAUGAGUUGCGAACGGGUGAGUAACGCGUAGGUAACCUGCCUCAUAGCGGGGGAUAACUAUUGGAAACGAUAGCUAAUACCGCAUAAGAGUAAUUAACACAUGUUAGUUAUUUAAAAGGAGCAAUUGCUUCACUGUGAGAUGGACCUGCGUUGUAUUAGCUAGUUGGUGAGGUAAAGGCUCACCAAGGCGACGAUACAUAGCCGACCUGAGAGGGUGAUCGGCCACACUGGGACUGAGACACGGCCCAGACUCCUACGGGAGGCAGCAGUAGGGAAUCUUCGGCAAUGGA